CCUGACUCUACUCCCCAGGGGAGGAGAAUCCACAUUGCUGGGACCCAGCAUGGCUAUGGACUGAAUGCUUUUGCUUUAAUAAUUCAAUAUCCACAAAAUGAAAAAGGCCAUGGACCCACAACUCUCACACUGUGCCUGGUGAGAGGAGAUUUCCCAGUUAGGGGACGGCUGGGCUUGCUGAGGAUCAGGGCCCUGCCCGCAGUCACAGGAGGGCGAGGGGAUGGCGGGCAACAUCCCUGGCUUUUACGCAGCAGAGUAGUCGUCACGUGACAACACUGAGGAGUUUCCUCAGUGAGCAGAAGGCAGCGUUUGCUCCCAGGACAGGAGCCACAUCACAGCUCCAUGUGCUGCUUGGGAAAAAGAGAAAGUUGAUAAUCGUAAAAGCCAUGUGAAAAGAUGAGCAUCUUCAUGGGAGAUGCCUGGAGAAAGCAGAGAGAAGGGCCUGAUGUCAAGUAACCAACACCGAGAACACGGCAGAAAUUAAGGAGCCCACAAAAGAGGCGAGAGUGGGCCCAGGGCCAGUUUACGCAAACGAAGAGACUGAGCAGUGUCGGCUGCUGCCUGGCUGUGAGAAGCCACAGGAGACCCACGGAUUCGGAGAGCAGGGCUGUGUUAGAGCCACUCAUUUCAGGAAGAUUUGUGUGGCAAAGAAAUGCCUAUAUCUAUAUAGAGGAUUCCAGGAGAGGGCACCGGUGGAGGGGGUGCUGCAGUGCCCGCUGUGUCACCACGGCUUGCUUCCACUUCAAGGUCUGUACCCUGGAGGAGGAGGACUCACGUCACUGUGAAAGCCUUUCCGGCCGUGUUUAUAGCAGCUUGAUUCAGAGUCUUCAAAAACGGGAAACAACCCCAAUGUCCUUAAACAGGUGAAGGAACAAGGAAUUGUGGUCCAUCCGCACAACGGAAAUGUGACUCAGCAAUGAAAAGCAACGAAUUAUUGAUGGAUAUGGGUCACACUAUGGUGACUCUCACAGGCAUCAUGCUGAGUGACAGAAGCCAGCCUCAAAAGGCUGCGGACUGUAAGGCUCGGUUUAUAUGGCACUCUGGGGAACGUAGUCGAUGCAAAAUAACCAAUAACUAUUCUAUAGAAAAGAGAAAUACGGUGAGUUUUACUUGAGCCAAAGCAAGGAUUACAACCCGAGAAGGCCUUAGAGAGUGUUCUGGAGAAGCGUGGUUUUUAGGACAGCCUUAUAUCUUUUUAGAACAAAGAACAUACAUUAAACAUGCCCAGGAUACAUUUUUGUCAAAGUUUCAAAGAGGUAUUUAGUUGCAAAUUAGCAGGUUAACAUGGUGGCAAUGUCCGGGAAAGAGACUAUUACCAACGGGCGUUACCAAUGGGCGUGACCAAUAGGG
rnacentral:lncRNA from 1 species